rnacentral:rRNA from 1 species
UACGGGGGGGGCAAGCGUUGUUCGGAAUUACUGGGCGUAAAGGGCUCGUAGGUGGCCCCAUAAGUCAGACGUGAAAUCCCUCGGCUCAACCGAGGAACUGCGUCUGAGACUGCGGGGCUUGAAUCCGGGAGAGGGAUGCGGAAUUCCAGGUGUAGCGGUGAAAUGCGUAGAUAUCUGGAGGAACACCGGUGGCGAAGGCGGCAUCCUGGACCGGUAUUGACACUGAGGAGCGAAAGCCAGGGGAGCAAACGGG